UAACCGUAGGUGAACCUGCGGUUGGAUCAUUAAAAAUUCAAGUUCGGGAUCGGUUCUUCACUCUUGUGUAAGGUGCCGAUCCGCAAACGAACCCACAUUAUGUGAACUGAACCGUCUCUGGCGGGUGGGUAGCAGCAAACACUGCUACCUGUCAGUAAAUGCGCUUGCAUUUGCCGUGGACACCCCGCCAACCAGGUCUUACACCUUUAUUGUUUUUUGAUGUCUGACAUAACCUGUAUAAAUAUACAAAACAACUUUUGGCAACGGAUCUCUUGGCUCUCGCAUCGAUGAAGAACGCAGC
rnacentral:misc_RNA from 1 species